rnacentral:lncRNA from 1 species
UUUGUUUGUUUGAGUAUGAAUCAUAUUUGCCAAAAGCUUGCUAUUUGGAUCCUUUGUUGCAAUCGUAGCCUUAAGAUUCAUGUUCGAGCGAUCUAUAUUGCCUGAUAUGUAGUCAAUGUCUAACUAGUUGGAUUUAGCAGUGCUUUGUUUCUCCAGCAUCUUUUUUUCUGUGAUUUGAUCUUAAAUUUGUUCUUGUCUAGUUUAAUCUGAAAUAUAAUCUGAUUAUGGCUUAGAUUCCAGUUCAAACUGUAGUGCAUCUCUAAUAAUGCCUGUUAAGUUUUUAUACUCUUUUAAGCUUCAAUUUCUUUGUUUGUUUGCUCUAUUUCCAUCCAUCACUACUAAAAAAUUGUCAAAAACGACGGCCAAAGCGACGGACUGCGUCGCUUUUUUACUUCUUUUUUUUGAAUUUUUUAACAAAAGCGACGGAGUCCGUCGCUUUAUUUUAAUUUAAUUUAAUUUUUAUUUCUAAAAGGCUACGCAGUCCGUCGCUUUUCUGGAAAUUUUAUUUUUGAAAAUCCCAGAAAAGCGACGGACUAAACCACGCUGUCCGUCGCUUUUUCUGCAAUAUUUUUUACGGCAACAACUGCCAGUUUCUGCUGCACACCUGCAAAUGCAAUUCAAUUCAAUUCUACACUAUUCAGCCCAAUCAAACACACACAAUUAUAAACAAUCUAAACAAAACAUAAAACAACAAACUUAAAAUAGCAUUCAAAAGUAUCUAAAUCAUAAAUUAAAGACUUAUAACGUCUUUCAAAAUUCGUUUCAAAAUUUUAUAAAGUUUAUAAAUGUCCAGAGAUCUAAACUAGGGAGUGAGAUCUACAUAAUCAUCCUCAUCACUCUCGUCAUCGGUGUCAUCGAGAGCCGAAGUAGUAGGUCAACGAGCGAGGUUCAUCACUUGUUAUUUGAUUUGCUGAACGGUCUCACUCAUGCUUUCUUGUUCAGCUACUCUUCUCCGCUCCGACUUUGCUAGUGCCGCUGUAAGUUUAGCUAUUUGAUCUAACAUAGCAGCAAUAUGAACACCGUCAAGUCCCUC